rnacentral:rRNA from 1 species
CACGGGGGGGGCAAGCGUUGUUCGGAAUUACUGGGCGUAAAGGGCUCGUAGGCGGCCAACUAAGUCGGAUGUGAAAUCCCCAGGCUUAACCUGGGAACUGCAUCCGAUACUGGAUGGCUUGAAUCCGGGAGAGGGAUGCAGAAUUCCAGGUGUAGCGGUGAAAUGCGUAGAUAUCUGGAGGAAUACCGGUGGCGAAGGCGGCAUCCUGGACCGGCAUUGACGCUGAUGAGCGAAAGCUAGGGGAGCAAACGGG